rnacentral:rRNA from 1 species
UGAGGAAUAUUGGGCAAUGCCCGCAAGGGUGACCCAGCAACGCCGCGUGGAGGAUGAAUGUCGUAAGAUUGUAAACUCCUGUUAGAGGGGAAGAAUAGUACCGGUUGGACCGGUAUAUGACUGUACCCUCAGAGAAAGCCCCGGCUAACUACGUGCCAGCAGCCGCGGUAAUACGUCGGGGGCAAGCGUUGUCCGGAUUUACUGGGUGUAAAGGGCGCGCAGGCGGGAUAAAAAGUCAGUGGUGAAAUCCUACAGCUUAACUGUAGAACUGCCUUUGAUACUUUUAUUCUUGAGUUCGGGAGAGAGAGACGGAAUUCCAGGUGUAGUGGUGAAAUACGUAGAUAUCUGGAAGAACACCAGUUGCGAAGGCGGUCUCUUGGUCCGACACUGACGCUGAGGCGCGAAAGCGUGGGGAGCAAACA